rnacentral:rRNA from 1 species
UACGGAAGGCAGCAGUGGGGAAUAUUGCACAAUGGGCGCAAGCCUGAUGCAGCCAUGCCGCGUGUAUGAAGAAGGCCUUCGGGUUGUAAAGUACUUUCAGCCGUGAGGAAGGUGUUAAGGUUAAUAACCUUAGCAAUUGACGUUAGCGACAGAAGAAGCACCGGCUAACUCCGUGCCAGCAGCCGCGGUAAUACGGAGGGUGCGAGCGUUAAUCGGAAUUACUGGGCGUAAAGGGCACGCAGGCGGUUAAUUAAGUUGGAUGUGAAAUCCCCGGGCUUAACCUGGGAAUGGCAUUCAAGACUGGUUAGCUAGAGUCUUGUAGAGGGGGUAGAAUUCCAUGUGUAGCGGUGAAAUGCGUAGAGAUGUGGAGGAAUACCGGUGGCGAAGGCGGCCCCUGGGACAAAGACUGACGCUCAUGUGCGAAAGCGUGGGGAGCAAACAGGAUUAGAUACC